GUUAUAGGGUCAAGUGACUAAGUGCAUGUGGUGGAUGCCUUGGCGAUUACAGGCGACGAAGGACGUGAUAGCCUGCGAUAAGCUUCGGGGAGCUGGCAAAUUAGCUUUGAUCCGGAGAUUUCCGAAUGGGGAAACCCACCUCGUAAGAGGUAUUGCAUGCUGAAUACAUAGGCAUGCAAGGCGAACCGGGCGAACUGAAACAUCUCAGUAGCUCGAGGAAAAGACAUCAACCGAGAUUCCGAAAGUAGUGGCGAGCGAAAUCGGAGUAGCCCUCGUGUUUUAGCAGUUGGCAUAUCAGAACGGAAUGGAAAGUCCGGCCAUAGCGGGUGAUAGCCCCGUAUGAGAAAUGUCGAUUGUGGAACUAGGCACGAAAAGAGUAGGGCGGGACACGUGAAAUCCUGUCUGAACAUGGGGGGACCAUCCUCCAAGGCUAAAUACUCGUAAUCGACCGAUAGCGAACAAGUACCGUGAGGGAAAGGCGAAAAGAACCCCGGGAGGGGAGUGAAAUAGAUCCUGAAACCGCAUGCAUACAAAAAGUAGGAGCCCU
rnacentral:rRNA from 1 species